rnacentral:rRNA from 1 species
GCAGUCGAGCGGACAGAUGGGAGCUUGCUCCCUGAUGUUAGCGGCGGACGGGUGAGUAACACGUGGGUAACCUGCCUGUAAGACUGGGAUAACUCCGGGAAACCGGGGCUAAUACCGGAUGGUUGUUUGAACCGCAUGGUUCAAACAUAAAAGGUGGCUUCGGCUACCACUUACAGAUGGACCCGCGGCGCAUUAGCUAGUUGGUGAGGUAACGGCUCACCAAGGCAACGAUGCGUAGCCGACCUGAGAGGGUGAUCGGCCACACUGGGACUGAGACACGGCCCAGACUCCUACGGGAGGCAGCAGUAGGGAAUCUUCCGCAAUGGACGAAAGUCUGACGGAGCAACGCCGCGUGAGUGAUGAAGGUUUUCGGAUCGUAAAGCUCUGUUGUUAGGGAAGAACAAGUACCGUUCGAAUAGGGCGGUACCUUGACGGUACCUAACCAGAAAGCCACGGCUAACUACGUGCCAGCAGCCGCGGUAAUACGUAGGUGGCAAGCGUUGUCCGGAAUUAUUGGGCGUAAAGGGCUCGCAGGCGGUUUCUUAAGUCUGAUGUGAAAGCCCCCGGCUCAACCGGGGAGGGUCAUUGGAAACUGGGGAACUUGAGUGCAGAAGAGGAGAGUGGAAUUCCACGUGUAGCGGUGAAAUGCGUAGAGAUGUGGAGGAACACCAGUGGCGAAGGCGACUCUCUGGUCUGUAACUGACGCUGAGGAGCGAAAGCGUGGGGGAGCGAACAGGAUUAGAUACCCUGGUAGUCCAC